GCCCAGACUCCUACGGGAGGUAGCAGUGAGGAAUAUUGGUCAAUGGGCGGAAGCCUGAACCAGCCAAGUCGCGUGAGGGAAGAAGGCCCUGCGGGUCGCAGAACUCUUUGGACGGGGAGCAAGGCCGCCGACGUGUCGGCGGAAGGAGAGUACCCGUAGAACAAGCAUCGGCUAACUCCGUGCCAGCAGCCGCGGUAAUACGGAGGAUGCGAGCGUUAUCCGGAUUUACUGGGUGUAAAGGGAGCGCAGACGGCAGUGCAAGUCUGGAGUGAAAGCCCGGGGCCCAACCCCGGGACUGCUCUGGAAACUGUACGGCUAGAGUACGGGAGGGGCAGGCGGAAUUCCUAGUGUAGCGGUGAAAUGCGUAGAUAUUAGGAGGAACACCGGCGGCGAAGGCGGCCUGCUGGACCGAAACUGACGUUGAGGCUCGAAAGCGUGGGGAGCAAACAGGAUUAGAUACCCCGGUA
rnacentral:rRNA from 1 species